rnacentral:rRNA from 1 species
CCUACGGGAGGCAGCAGUGGGGAAUAUUGGACAAUGGGGGCAACCCUGAUCCAGCCAUGCCGCGUGUGUGAAGAAGGCCCUCGGGUUGUAAAGCACUUUCAGUGAGGAAGAACGCCUGGUGGUUAAUACCCAUCAGGAAAGACAUCACUCACAGAAGAAGCACCGGCUAACUCCGUGCCAGCAGCCGCGGUAAUACGGAGGGUGCGAGCGGUAAUCGGAAUUACUGGGCGUAAAGCGCGCGUAGGUGGCUUGAUAAGCCGGUUGUGAAAGCCCCGGGCUCAACCUGGGAACGGCAUCCGGAACUGUCAAGCUAGAGUGCAGGAGAGGAAGGUAGAAUUCCCGGUGUAGCGGUGAAAUGCGUAGAGAUCGGGAGGAAUACCAGUGGCGAAGGCGGCCUUCUGGACUGACACUGACACUGAGGUGCGAAAGCGUGGGUAGCAAACAGGAUUAGAUACCCGUGUAGUC